rnacentral:rRNA from 1 species
AAAUCGCGAUAUGUAAUGUGACUGCCUAUAGUGAAUCAUCAAAUCUUUGAAACGCAUCUUGCACCUUAUGGUAUUCCAUAAGGUACGUCUGUUUCAGUACCACUAAUAAAUCUCUCUCUAUCCUUGAUGAUAGAAAAAAAAAAAAUAAUUUUUACUGGG